UGCGGCGGAGGACUCGGCGGUGACCACAGUUUUGAACUUUCAUGGUUUUUAACCCAUAUUUAUAAUAAUUUGUUUUAUUUUUAUUUUUUUCUGACUAAGUUUUUGGGUUGUAAUUGGACUUUCGGACUUUGGUUUUAGGUUUUAAUUAUCUGUACCUUAUGGAUUACAACUUCUAGUGGUAGGAAACCUCGGUUUUUAAU
rnacentral:lncRNA from 1 species